UUAGCUUCCAAAAGGUGCCGUGGGAAUUGAAGCAGCUUUCCAGAGCAAACUACACAAGGACGUGAGCCAGAGAGAUGUUGCAGAAAGAAAACACGCUUCAACAGAAGAGAUGAAGGUGCAAGUCAGAGUGGCAUUGAAGGCUUCAGAAGGGCAACACAUUGCCUGCAUUUAAACAUGAGCCAUAGACUAAUUUCUAAAGCUGCUCUAUAAACUCCGCUUGAGAGGCAGCACGAGCCAAAGAAGGAAGAAAACACGUCUGGGAAUGGCAGUGAAUGAAGAUGGCAGCAGAGGGGCAGUCCAACAGAAUGGCAUCUGGCAUGGAAGUGAGUGUGAAGCAAAGGUCUACAGGAGAGAAUUCAAGAUGCUGUAAGUUCUCAAAGUUCUUCCUCAGCUCACAGAAAUGAAAAAAAGCAGCCGUAGUGAUUUCUUUUGGCAGUAUCUUCUGCCACAAACAGCCAUUUUCGUGCCCUCCAUAACGAGGAGGAGUUCAGAAAGGCUCUGAAUUGUCUGGGAAAUGAAAAAAAUUCCACAACUAGGAGAAUGAAAUGCAAACUGAAGGCAUUUCAGACACAAUGUGCUUGAUGAGUGGUUGUAUAGAUGGAGAAAGCAUUGUUUCAUCAAGAGUUUUCAACUCAAAUCAUUGCCACCAUAUGAAAAAAUACCUUCCUCUAUAUUUUUUAACCCUUCUUUUACUAGUAAGGAAAAGAAAAAUCUAACAGAUGGGCCAGAUUUUUUUAAUCGAACUGGUCUUUUCCUUACUUUGAGGCAUUCGUUCCCAUUUUACUUCAAUACAUUUGUGUCGAAUACAUUUAUUUAUCCUGGUUUAUACUUCCCAGAAAACAAGUCGGGGUUUCUUCUGUGGUCAGACCAAUGCUAUGAUUCAUGGAAUUGUGAUCGUCAGUCUGCACAGGAAGUGGAGGUCAGCUGGAGAGCAACGCUCAUACAGAACUGAAGCUGAACCUUCCAACCUACCAAAUCCGUGAGGUGCUGGAGCAGAAAGGGAACAUAGGUUAAUUCUGGGCUGACCUAGAACAAAGUACUCCAACUCUGCACAACAUACUAGUCCAAGAUUUCAACCAUCACCAUAAACGAAUCUGAAUUAAUGCUUUCCUUCACUUUCCAGUCUGUCAAAUACAAUCUAAGGCUUUUGGGCCUCUCUGGACAUUUUUAGGUUCAAAAUAAACUGAGUUCUCCAAUAUACAGAAUCCACUUCUUCAUGGGCUCCACUAAGGGCAGCUCACCUCUCCCUGCUUGGGAGCAGGAUGACAGACUCAGCAUGCAGCUGGGGCUGCUUUCCAGAGCAGCUGAACACAUUGGUGUCCACAAUUCAGGCAAAUAAUGAGCCCUUCUUGGUAUGGAUCCUUCAGGAAAGCAUGCCUCCAAUCCCUACAGAGACAUCACACGAGGAAUUCUAGAAAUAUGGCCUUUAAAAGAAGGAAUAGAUCAAAUUUUAAGCAAUUAUGAAUAAAAGCACAUCCAAGAGGUACAGAAAGCUGUAACUGUAAACCAGUUACAUCAGCAAAGCAGCAUUCCCACUGCUGAGAGAAGGGGAGAUUUCUACUGAGGCUAAAACAAGUUCUUUGAGACAGCAGCUGAGAAAGAGACAGUUCUGCCAGGAGUCACAGUUCUUCCAUCCUCAGCACUGGUGAUGAACCACUCCAGUAACUGGGUGGCAUGCCCCUAAUUUCUCUGGGAAAAGAUUCUGGGAAAGGAUGUACAAUAAUUGUGGAGGGGAAGCAGACCAAAGCACAGAGCACUAAUUAAGUUGACUAUCUCAAUAUGACUACCCAGAAAAAAAAAAAGGAAUUUCUGUGUCUCAAGUUUCAUAUCAGUUGAAUUUCGAGGAUCAAUAGGAUUGGUCUUAUGGGGAUGUUCCUUCCCUUCAUUUGCUCUAUUUCCAACAUGAAGUAAGCUUGGAAGAUUCCUGCCUGGAACCACAAUAAAAAGUUUAUAAUAUUCAGUGACCUGGUUAGGGAAAUAAAGUAAUUUAUUGCUGGGGUAAUCAAAGAAGCAUGAUAGAAGAUUUCCUUAUCAACCGAGAAACUGAGACAGGUGGAUAACGAUACGUCCCAACUGUUGCUACCUACUGCACAUCUUCAAGGUUCUCUCUAGGUAGCAGAUGGCCAGUCAGAAUAUCUAAAUUUCAGUCCUGUGAUAAAUUACCUUUUCAGUAGAGAAAGCAUCUCUGUCUCUCCCCAUGAACAAUAUCAAAGAGUUUAUUUCAUUAUGUAAGAGCAUAAUUAGUGCCAGACAUUUAGUACUAUUAUUACUACCAAGUUGUCUUUCCUCUUUGUAGUGUGAGAGCUGUAGAGCAGACUUCCCUGAUCUUUUCAAACAGUUUCUGCCUGCAUCCAAACAAAAGGAAACAUGUCAUAGCUAGUUUGUGAUGAGAAACCAGUACUUUGGCUCCAGAUGCACACAGAGAACAAUUGGUUUAAAAUGAAAGACAAGCUAAAUAUCAAUAAACCUCAUAGUCUUCUUCAGAGCAGCCUACUCACAGAAAACAGCUUAUAGGCAAGCACAAUGAAUCACGUUGAUACUGGAAAUACACACAUUCCCUAGAAAGCUUCUGCUAAAAGCUUAUCACAUUGCACCAGAUGGUUGGCUAGCUGACAAGAGAUAGCUCAUCUCAAAAAAAAAAAAACAACCCAAGAUAUCUAUCAAAACACAACAACAACAAAACCCCAAUCCCUAACAAUAUAUAAUAAGGGGAGUCAAGGAUGUAAUAGCCUUUAGUGAGCCAGUGUGUGCAUCUAAUGCACUAGUCAAGCUUGUUGAAGUACAAAAGCCCUUCAUGUCUGAAAGAAAAAGCACCUACCAGACCAAGUGCUCCUGGGAACAGCCCAAGUUGUGAGUCUGAUGGCCAUACAUACAAGGUCUUACUGCUUGCAUGAUGCUCCCCAGUGAAUACGCUCAGCUGAGAACAAACUGGGAACUCAGGCCAGGUGGUUUCCUUGCCACCACACACAGUGGUGCUACCUACCCUCUGCCUAAGCAGCUACAUGCAAAGAGGAACAGUGUCUAUAAUUGCUAGGAUAGUAGAAAAGUCAGGCAGUGGUUCUUAAGUCUAAAGCAAAAAUAAAAGCCAAAUGGAAGUAUACACCACAAAACUUUGCUCCUCGGUAAUCCCUUCCUCCUAAGCAGAAGUCCUAUCCUGAAAAAUACUGUGAAAGAAAACUGCUGAAAUAUUUCUACUGUUGAAGUUUUCUCUGCUAGAAAAACAGUUUAUCUUUUCUCGUCGUUGUAGCCUACCUAAGAUGUUUAAACAUAGGAGGAAAAAAGAAAGAAAGAGAGAAAAGAAUAAAAAGGGUCUUUAAACUCUAGGAAUGUUUUUUUCCUGUAGUGAACUCGGAG
ensembl:lncRNA